UCUUCCCCCACCGUCCGGGAAAAGGGCCGCGGCAAGCCGCCCCGUUGCUAUGGUAACUGUGCAGCCCACUGCGCACGCGCCGGGCUCGCGGCGUCUCCCGUCCCCGCCCUUAGCGGUUCACAGGUUUAAUCUCCUGUGACCCCCCGCCCGGACGGCAGUGCGGACGCUGCUGCUUCCUGCUCAGUAGCCUCUGAACACUUCGGAGACUGAGGGGAAAGGACGAGAAAAACUCGAAGGCGAUGAGCUACUGGACAGUGUCCGCAGGAAAGCCUGAACGGACGUCACCGUUGCUUGAACGGACGUCACCGUUGAGUUAUUUUCCGCUACCAGAAGGAGACCGCACGCUUUUCAAGGUGCCCCUUUGGAAUCCACCUCCCUGAAAGAAACACCAGUAGCUUCAUUGUUUCGGAGGCCAUUUGUGCUGCAGCAAAGAAAGAAUGCAGAAGUCUUUCAAUGAUAUUUCGUUUCCAAAAGCAUAUUCAAACACACGACUGAGGAAUGACCCACCAUCCAGAUCAUUUGUACUGAGAAUCAGACUGUAAAACCUACAUAUGCAGAAAUGAAACUGGUCUCAGAGACCACACGUAGGUUUUACGUGGAGUUUACUGAUCAAAGGAUGCAGAUUUCCAAGUAGGAACAGGAAAUUCAAGAGUACAAUGUGGUGACUACAGGCAAUAGCUGUGUGUUUCUACUUUUGGAAGGGCAUUUUGUUAAAUUAUAUUUAUGUACAGAAAGCUUCGCAGUGUACAAAUUGACCUAGUUCAAUGGCAAGUUCUUUGAUCUUUUCCAGCUUGGAAAUGCAAGCCAUAGAUUUUGAACCCAGAACAUUGUCACCCUAGUGGUGGUGUGUCUCAUUGUAUCUGUCGUUGUAAUUGGUCCUGAUAGGGUCCACCAUCUUAGCCGGAGGAGCGAUUUUGUCUUGCGAAGACAGCAGUGGCCCUCGAUUUCCUGAGGACCAGCCGCCCCAGCCUGGACUUCUCUUUGGUGAUACAGUAGGGGAUCCCCAUCUCGUGAGACAAGGCAGGCAGGAAGCCACCAACUCACUGGGAUCUACUUUGUGUGCAAUCACCAAGAGCAGAGCUUUCUUUUUCUCUACCAAGUUACUGACCAUAUUAACUCCUGCCAGAAGGACGUCCCCUUUGCCUGCAGCUUUCUUCUCGGCAUGGGCUAGCAGCCUUACCUUCUUUUCCUGCUUUGCUAUCUUCCCUACACUCGUGGGUACUCUUAAGCAGCCAGACAGCUGCUUCAGUGACCUGAAUCACAGGAGGUGCUUUGAGCCGCUUAUAGAGGAUGAAUCUUGCUGUUGCAGCCGGAGCUGGCGAGGUCUCUCUUGGGGUGAAAGUCUUGACCAAUGCUUCUUAGGCUUUUCCUCAGAGGAUUUGCCACCUUUUUGGCCUCCUCCUUCAUGAUGGUGGGACAGGAGCCAUCUUUUUCCCCCCACCCCGUGACCUUUUUUAUUUGGGGCAUCUUGCUUGGCUGGAGGACAGUGUGUACAUUGUAUUCUUGAAAAUUCCAUUCAAGGCAUAUUGCUGUGGUAUUCUUGUAAAAUGGAUAAAUACAUGAAGUAUUGUAUAUGAUAAUUUGCUCAAAUUAACGAGUCCAUGUUGCAUGUAUAUUUCAAAACACUGUGUGGUGCCAAUAAAUACAUGUGAUUUUUAGAUAUUAAAAAAAAGACACAAGGGCUGCAGACAUAGCUCACUGGGUAAUUGAGUGCUUUCUUGGGCAUGAGGACCAUAGUUCAGAUCCCUUGCCAGGUGGAUGUGGCUCCCAUCUAUAAUUCCAGCACUCAAAAGACAGGGACAGAAUCCCCAUAGCAAAAUGACUACUUACACAAAUUGUCUAAAUGAGCUCUGGGUUCAAAUGAGACAACCUGCCUCAAUAAAUAGUGCAGAGAGUGACCAAGGAAGUCUCCCAAUUUCAGCACGAAGGCACACACACAUCUGUGUGUGCACACAUGCACACAUGCAAACAUCACAUGUAGGCACAUCGCAUACACAUAUUUUCCAAAGUGGGGAGAGGAACAAAGAAAAAAUGUGAUUAAGUCAAGUUCAUUGCAGAGGAAAUGAGGGAAGAAAUUUUACUCCCUUAAUAUCUACCCUCAAAUCUCUCCAAAAAUAACUCUUGGAAAAUAUUAAUGCAGACCAGAAUUAUGAUAGCUCAUUUUUCUUUCUUCAAUGUUUUGAGGUCAAGGUUUCAAAAAACAAACAAAAAAAAAAACUUGAAUGUGAAUUUGUCUCAUUUUGAAGGACUCUUAGUGGUAAACACUGAAAAAUACAAGACACAAAAACAAAUGUUACUGACUUUGAGUCACUGUAGUGGACUAUCAAUUAUUUCCAUUCUUUAUCAAGAAUAAGAAUUAGCUAUAAACAGAAAUGGAGUUUUAACUAACUAACAAUUUUCAACUUCAUUUUUUUUCAGAUUUUGUAUACAUGCUAUCGUAGAUAAAUUGCAAAAUGCUAAGGUCUUCAAAGAAGAAAAUUAUCAUAAUUUUACCAUUAAAAAGUAACCAGGAUUAGCAUGUAUGCACUUAUUCAUAUGUUCAAAUCUCCUAUGUAUGUAUUAGACACUCAUUUUAAACAUGGCCCUAUGAUCUCGCUGUAUGGAUAUAACAUAAUUUGCUUAAUUUUGUCCUCCAGUUACUAAUUGUGGCUCUCACAGUAUUUCUGUAAUAAAAGUCUUUUUGUAUUCUCAGUUA